rnacentral:rRNA from 1 species
AGCGAACGCUGGCGGCAGGCCUAACACAUGCAAGUCGAACGAACCUUUCGGGGUUAGUGGCGGACGGGUGAGUAACACGUGGGAACGUGCCUUUAGGUUCGGAAUAACUCAGGGGAACUUGUGCUAAUACCGAAUGUGCUCUUCGGGGGAAAGAUUUAUCGCCUGUAGAGCGGCGCGCGUCUGAUUAGCUAGUUGGUUGAGGUAAUGGCUCACCAAGGCUACGAUCAGUAGCUGGUCUGAGAGGAUGAUCAGCCACAUUGGGACUGAGACACGGCCCAAACUCCUACGGGAGGCAGCAGUGGGGAAUCUUGCGCAAUGGGCGAAAGCCUGACGCAGCCAUGCCGCGUGAAUGAUGAAGGUCUUAGGAUUGUAAAAUUCUUUCACCGGGGACGAUAAUGACGGUACCCGGAGAAGAAGCCCCGGCUAACUUCGUG